GUUCCUGUAGUUGAAUAACAACGGUGGUUUUUCAAGUCAUUGGUCUUGGUUAGAGUCCAAGUAGGAAUU
rnacentral:tRNA from 1 species